rfam:Astyanax mexicanus chromosome 25, whole genome shotgun sequence.
GAUGCUGUGGCUUAAUUGGUUAAAGUGCCUGUCUAGUAAACAGGAGCUCUUGGGUUCGAAUCCCAGCAGAGCUU